CCCCUCCUGUACGUCAUCUACUAUAGUAGUGGAUGAGAGUCAGAUCUAGCAUCCUGUAAUGAAAAAAAUAAAAUAUCAUUAAUAAUUUAAAAUUAAAUUAAUUGAAACUGUAAAAAUAAAGUAACUGGUACACCUCAAGCCUAAACCUUUGUGGAGAAUUAUAUGUUGAUAUAUUCUUGUAAUAGGGAUAUAUUUCGAUAUACUUCUCUGAUUCUUGAACGAAUUGUUUCUAUACAUUUUAUUUAAUGUUAUGGAGUUAUAGGUAUCUUUGGUCCGUCCAUCGGAUGGUUAGAUUGAAUUUUGACCCUUUGGAUACCCCUUUCUUCUACUGAAGCCUAAACUAGCAUGGAGGGAUAUAUUUCGAUAUACUCUUUCGAUUCUCAAACAGAUUAUUUCUAUAUAUUUCAUUUGAUGUUACGGAGCUAUAGACACCUCCGAUCCAUCUAUCAGAUGGUUAGAUUAAAUUUUGACCUCCUAGAUAUCCUCUUCUUCUCACUUGAAGUCUAAAUUGGUACGGAGGGAUAUAUUUCGAUAUAUUUCUCUGAUUCUUGAACGGAUUAUUUUCACAUAUUUUAUUCGAUGAUAUGGAUGUAUUUACACCUCUGGUUCAUCCAUCGGAUCGGUAGAUUAAUUUUAAGCCCUAGAUUUUUUUCUUCCGACUUAAGCCUAACUAUGUGAAAUUUUUAAAUAUAAAAAUUUAGAACAAAAAAUUUAUUAAUACUACUUGAUUUACCUGCUAUGAUAGUUGUGACAAUGAGCUCAGCUGAUUGUGCAGAUACGGAUCUUGGAGAAUCUCAACAACGGUCUGACGAAUGGCAUCCCAGAAGCUCUGAGAUCGCUGGUAUAAAAGCCUCUAUGACCUCAUUGACAUGGGCAUCACCCCAUGUCUGGAUCAUCGAGACCUGAGAGGAGGACGUCGAAGACCAGCGAGCUGCUGGAGGGUCGAAACUAUGCCAAGACCCUAUGACCUGGCUUCUACUCACCCCUCCGAUGGCCCUGAACCAUCCGUCGAUCUAAUCAGAGGCAAGUGUCUUCACUCAGGUGCUAGCUCCUUUAUAGAAGACUUCUCUUUGAUGGCUAAAAUAACUUCUUCUCAAAUCUCGCAGACUCUCUAAAGAUGGAGAAGAAGAGGAAGAAUGGAGAAGAGGAAAAGGAGAGGAGGCACGGCUUAAAGAAAACAAUUUUC
rnacentral:lncRNA from 1 species